CAAUGUUUAAAAAUAGCUCAAAACAGUACGAAAAUGUUCUAUUUCCGCCGAUCUGUCAAAAAAGGAUUUUAACUGUAGAAGAUACAUACCAUUUGAUACUGUGUGUACAACAAAAACCUAAGAUGAAAGAUUGACAACAAAGUGUCAUGGUCUUGAUGGAAUAUGCUCACAGUGCUCCUCAGACCUCUUAGACAUAUAUUUAAUAAUGGCCACUGAGUCAUCCAAGGUUUCAGACAUCUAGAAUAUGCUCAUGGUCAGUCUUCAAGAUACUCACCCAAGCAUUCCAAUGUGAAUAAGGAUACUGUGACAAAACAGUACUUACCAACAUCCACUGGAGAUACCAGACCAAGCAGACUUUAAGCUACAUAUAUAUGGACACAGACAAUACAAUUCAUUGCAUAUUCCAACACAGCAUAAAAUUUCAAACUGUUUCAUAGGCAGUGAGGCAUUUGUGCUAACCUCAUAAGUUGAAAUGAUUUUUUUUUUAAGUUUGACUUUGAAUUGAAAAAGCCAUUAACAUUUGAUUUUCCAAAACAUAUAUUUAUACAGUGUCAUCUGUCCAUUUGUACAUAUUUUCCUCCAAGCAUUUAAACAAUUUUGAAUUAUAAUGGAAAAAUUUAAAUGAAACAUUUAUUGAAUCCUAUGAUAAUAUAUGAAACACACACAACCAUGGUUGUUCAUGUAAUAUUACCAUUGAUUUAAUUUUGAUGAAACGUUCAUACUACUUUUUUAUAGAAAUUUAGUGAAUGUUUUGAUAUUUCUGAAUACAAAUAACUUGUUGUUGUUGUUAUUUUACUUUGACUGGCACAUCUUUCAACACACAUUGGUGUAUAUAGUGUAUACUCCAGUGUAGGUUAUAAAAUAAUAGAAACAGUAGAUAAUAUUUGCAUGAAACUCUGAACAUAUAACCACUUUGACAAUCUGCACCACUUAUUAAGCUACUGUUUUGUUAAAUAAUGCGUUUUGAUGAGACUAGCUUGUAAAAUAGCUAUAUUUCUUUUAGUCAUUAUGUGUAUCAAGUCUUUGAAUCAUGUCAGCAACUGUUUAUUUUAUCAAGUAUUAUGAAUGGAUCUAAUAUUCUGUUUAUUUAACAGUUAUCACAACGAUUGACACAAU